rnacentral:lncRNA from 1 species
GGCUGCACCUGCAGCAUAUGGAAGUUCCCGGGCUAGGGAUCGAAUCAGAGCUGCAGCUGAGACCUAAGCUACAGCCACAGCAACGCUGGAUCAGAGCCAUAUCUGCUACCUACCCGCAGCAUGCAGCAGUGCUGGAUCCUUAAUCCACUGAGCAAGGCCGGGGAACCUAUAUUUUCACAAACAUUAUGUUGGGUUUUUAACCUGUUAAGCCAUAAUGGGAACUCCCAGAUAUGCUAACUUUUAAGGGGCGUGGAAAAACCCAGGUGGGACAUUACAAAACUAGAUAGGUAUCUUGCAGAUAGCUUGAAGUCAGAGUUAAAAUUUGUAUCUUUGCAAGUCAUUACAUUGAAAGUGAUGGUCAAAACUGGAGAAAUUAGGUGAGAGCUCUGUGAUCAAAUAGAUAUUAAACAGGAAAAAAAUGAGUCAUAAAAUCUGUGUUUGGAAGGAGAGGCAGGGUGGAAUGAGGAAAUAAACCUUUGAAAGAGGAAAAAACAGGAAAGGCCUGAGGGUUAGGUGAAGAACUAGGAUGUUGUGUUUUUAUAAAACCUAGGGAGAUCCUGUUGUGGCUCAAUGGAAACAAACCUGACUAGUAACCAUGAGGAUGUGGGUUCAAUACCUGGCCUCACCCAGUGGGGUAAGGAUCUGGCAUUUUGGAGGGUGGAAUUUACAAGUGAUGCAACAUGGAAAAAAUGAAAGUUGCAGGUGUACUAAACUCCCCGAAACAUUUUAUAAUGGAAAGAAGGCAAAACAGUAUAGAUGGCAGCUACUGGGGGGUAUCAAUGUAUCUCAAAACACAGGUUUCUAGAAGAUCUUGGAGAUACUAGAAAAAAUAAACAUUUCUGGAAUAAUUUAUAAUCAGAAGUAAGGUGACACAAUUGAAAGAAGCAGCCAAUUGGAAUUUCCUGAAACAGAGAAACAACAUUAUGCCUUCUGCAUCUGUAAAGGAUGGUGGUCAAUACAGAUACAGAGAUCUUUAAGUGAGAAAGGAAGUAUAGUAUAUAUGGGACUUAAAGUCACAUUAAAGAAAGUUACAUCUAAGUGUGUCUCUGUUUCCUUUUUCAUAAGGGUUGCAAAGUUCUCUAUUUUGUAUUUUUUGAGAUAAAUAUUUAAUUUAAUUCAGUUUUUAAAAAUUAGAGUUGAUGUACAAUGUCAUGGCAAUUUUUGCAAUGUAUCAAAUUGACACACAUAUAUGCAUUCCUUUUCUCAUAUUAUCUUUCAUUGUGUUCUAUCCCAAGAGAUUGUAUAGUUACCCGUGCUAUAGAGUAGGAACUCAUUGCUUAUCCAUUCUAAAUGUAAUAGUUUGUAUCUGCUAAUCUCAAACUUCCAGUCCAUGCCACUACCGCCCGAGAUAGAUCUUUAAGUCCUUCUUCCAUACCUCUCUAUCUAACAUGUAUAUUUAUUGCUUAUUUGAGUGGUUCUACAUCUGCUUUUGGUCUCCCCACUUUAGCGAUGCAUAAUAUUAACAUGCAUAGAUAUACUUUUAAUAUGUAGUAUUGUAUAUAUCUUGUGUUUUCUGCUUUUGGUUCAUAAUUUUUCCCCUCAUGGCUUUCAAUUAAAAAUAAACAUCUCUGUUUAGACCAUGUAUAAGGUAGAUAAAACAUAAAGCUAUUUCAAUAAGAAAAGGAUUUUAAAUGUCAAUAUCUUAAUUUUUCCAUUUUUUUAAUUUAAAAAGUGACUAAUGAUUUAAAGCAUUCAUAAUUUUUAUAUUUCUUAAAAGAAUAAUACUAAUUACUUAAAACACUGAAAAUAACAUAAAGAUUGGACUUCAGAUAAAGCACUCUGACUCUCUCUCCAUAUAUAUACAUAACAUACAUCAAUUUUUUAUUGAGCUAGAGUUUAUUUACAAUGCUGUAUUAGUUUCAUGUAUACAGCAAGGUCAGUUAUGUAUACACAUAAAACUAUUUUUUCAGAUUAUUUUCCUUUAUCGGUUAUUACAAAAUAUUGAAUAUACUAUAAAAUAAGCUCUGUUUUAUUAAUAGUGAAGUGAGUUACAAUUUAGUUAAAUUUACAUUGGAUUCAAGGAAAAGUGCAUGUGCCAAUUAUAAAGGGACCUGAGGCUGAUUUGUGCACUGAGUACAGUUUGAAAAUGGUAAAACCCUAAAUACUUAGAUUUUAAAUUUUAGAUGCAUCAUAUUUAUUUUCAUGUAUUAAAAAAAUCUUAGCGGUGGUCAAAACAGGAAUCAUAUAACUGCAAGGUUGAUUUGUAGGCUGUGGGCUAUUGACAUGAUUCCAAACGUGUGAAUAAAAGCUAAAAAAAGCAGUAAGUUAAUUAUAUAAACAUUUAUGAACAGAUAAAUGUUUGGAACUAUGUAGAAAACAUCUGUAUUUAAUUUUUAUUUAAAUAUUUUAUUCAAAUAUCAGGUUCCUGCAGCUUAAUUUUUUGGGCUUCAAAAAUAGUCAUUUAUCAAGUCCAUUUCCCCUAGACGCAUCAUACAUCCCUAACUUUCCAUUCCCAGGACCACCAGUCUAACACCAGGAACUGCAAAGGGAUCCACACAUAUUAUCUCUGGUCCUCACAGCCACCCUGCAAAGGAGGGUCUGUGAACUUUAUUCUACCCAUGAGGCAAAUGAAGCUGAGAGAGCUAUAAGUUAUCAAUGAAACUCCAAGUCAACAUAAGUUUGUGUGAUUCAAGCCAGUUUUACUAAGGCGAUACUAAGCCACCUUUCUCCCACCACCUGGGGUAUAAAUCCUUAUUUACCUGGAACUGGAUUCAUUCAACUGCUUUCUAAGUGGAUCUCCCUGCUUCAGAUCCCACCACUGAUCAAUCCACUCUCAUACUUUUAAUUCUUUAGUUACACCCCUUACAAUAACUUUGAACUAUCCCUCAGCUACAAGAAACAAGAGCCCCACAAGAUAGUUUACUUUAUUGAGUAAAGUAAGAAUACAAAGAUAAAGAAAACAUUCCAUUGUGAAAUUUACAGCCUUAGAUACCUAUUCAUUGCAAUGUGUGGAGACAUUCUUCAUGAUUGAUUAUGUGGCCAAUAUUUGCAAACUUUCUAUGUGCACUUUAAAAGGAUUUGAUACUCUUUAAGGGUGUUGUGAUUAUCACAUAUAUAUUGGGUCAAGCUUGUAAGAUCAAGCCUUCCAACUCUGUUGUCUCAAUCUUCUAUAUCCUUAUUCUAUUUCACUUCUUGCUGAAUUCUUGGUUCUGUUGCUUGCUAUUAUUUUUUAAAUUAUCUCUGCCCAUUCUCAUCUCAUUCCAGAAGUAGAUGUUAAAAUGAUGGGUUGAAGCCUCUGUGUUGCAAGGAGAUUGUGAAUACUUUAGGACCUGCUAUUGAAUCAGCUGUUGACCUUUUUUAAUUCCUGGUCCUCUAGAUCAGCUCUAUUAUCUAGAACCAAAGACACCAGUUUAUUCCAGCCUUUUACAUAAAAUUCAGGGUGGGGAUAAGGUGCUCUUUGAGGGACAAAGCCCCUGUUGGGUCCUGGCUUCCACCUGUGAGAUCACCUGGGAAAACCUGAAGGCUCCGCAUGGGCAGAACUUCCCAAGCCUACUGCCUGCUUCUGGAUCUAGAUUCCAAGAGACUCUUCUCUUCUCCUCCUCACUCUUGCAUAUUUCUACCUCACUUCUGGUCCAUGGAGUAAGUAUCAUAUCUUCUAAGCCUUGACUCUAUUUCAUUUUCUCCUUUCAUAUUUUAUCUACCCUUGAUACCAUUUUUGGGAAAAAGCUGGAUGAAAAUGCACAUGAUCUUGACCAAAAGUUGGAGUACCACAUUUAUAAUACUAUUCUAUUUCUGAUAAGUAUUAAUCACAACAUGUAAAUGACCUGCAUGAGGUUGUCAAUACCUGGUAGGACCUCCUUUCUCAUGGAACUGAAAAGGAAGCUGCAUUCUUAUGGAAUGACAGAGAAACCCACCUAUAAGCCCAGAGAACAGAUGUGACUGGCAGAAAUCCAGGCAGGUUUCCCCUGGACACCCCUGAAAGCCUCAGCUGGGCAGAGUUACACUGCAAUUCAUGUUUAAAGCAGCCACUCCCUUUCCCAGAGCAGAGUGAGGUAAGGACCGAGGCAGAGUCCCAGAUAGCUCCCAGGACUCCACAAACCCUAAGGCUUCCUCCAGCUCCACGAUUUUAUGGGCCUGUCGUGAAGGAACAAAAUCCAGGUGGUGAGCGUCGUGUUUCCAUUCCUCAUAGGACUCAAUACGAUAGGACAGGGAAAAGA